rnacentral:lncRNA from 1 species
AAAUCACCCAUUCCCUCCCCCAAAAACCGUGAGCAGCUAGAGAGAAAGAGAGGAUCCGGAUUUUCGCGAAUCUUUGCCCGUUUUCUUCACCGAUCGUUGCUAAUCGAAGACCUUGAGGUAGGUAAACUAUAUCUCACUUCUGAUCGUCAGAUCUGUCGACUUUUUCCAUGUUUUUCUGAGCUCAAAGUUUGGAGCUUUUUGUAAAAUUGUCCAAAUAGCUUGAUUUCAGUGUCUAAACUUCUUCCCUGCAUGCUCCUGAGCGUGUUCUGCGGAUUAGAUUUUGUCAAAUGUCGACGAAAUGCCGCCGGGAUCAAUUUCUACCUUAAAUACCCAUUUUUCGGUAAAGUCGCAACCUUUAAGCUCUAAUCUAUCGACUUGGCUUAGUGCUAGUAGGAUUUGUCGUCAUAAACGUCGUUGUGGACGUCUCCAUCCAAUCUGUUUUUCAAAAAUCCAAUUCUGAAAUUUUGAGCUAAAAAUAAUGACCAAACUACCCCUAUAUCAGUUUUCGAUCCGAAAAUUUUUCCGAGCUUAGAACCGUCUUAGUUACGGCGUAUGUUAACCUAGGAACCAAGUUUGAUCGAAGAAAAAUCGACCCUCCUAAUUAAGGAAAGUGGCCGAGAGCUAUACCAAGGGGGGAGGAAAUCCGACUUUUUCGAAAACUUGUCUUAACGCGUUAGAUUGUCGUACCACAGAGUUUGUAAUGUACCGUGUAACCCUAGGACUUAUUGCUUGCUGAGUUUCUGACUCAAUGUGUUGAUUUCUGUGAUUUUGGCUUAAGGUUCUUUUGAGGAGUUUCCUGGAGAUCAAGGCGAGGAACGUGAAGGAGGUUGUGAGGAAAACGCUGGAGGAGUUACAGGUGAG